UCCCUCGGGAAAUUCAUUAUCCGUCCCAUCAGCUAUCAUUCAUAAGUGCCUGACGGUUUCACUUUCCUAAAAACCUCCUUUUCCAUCCAAAGCAAUGCUCCCCUGAUUUCCAAAGAAUCAUUUCCGCUUCAAAACAUUUUACUCCGACGUUUUGAUUCCCAUGGAGCAAACACUCAUCUUCCUCACAAAGCUUCAGUCUGGUUCUCUGAUCCAUUCGUCUUCUAGCGUUUUGACUGCAUGACUUGGUACCGCACCUUCCAGGUAAAACCCUUUCCUUUGCUUCAGACUUCCAGUGGCUAUUAUAUCUGCCAAAUUGCUUGCUGUGUGAUGGACAUGCUGAAAUUUUAUGGAUUUGAACUCUCUCUGUAUAGUCUUUAUAUCGUGUAUGAUGGAGCAUAUUUCUGAUUUAUCUCUGGAUUUUGAAGUGCAUUUCCUUAUAACUGAAAUCGAGUCCCCUUCAAUAAAGAUUUUAUGUUCUUUCAUUUCUAACCCCAUUUUCACUGCCUCUAAACAUGCAUGUGCUUCUGCUGCGAAAGCCGAGUCAACAUUCUCGUAUAUGGUCGCUCUGGAGGCGAUCACUCUUUCCCUUCUGUUUCUGGCAACUAUUCCCGAGCUUGCUCUAAAAGCCCCCAAUUAAAACCCACAUCAAAGUUGAUUUUUAUGUCUUCUCCAGGAGGCAGAACCCAUGAGUCUCUGAUAGGUGCCUUGGACCCAAAGGGAUACGCAGAUCAUUCGCCUCUGGGGAUUUGAGCAAUCAUCAAAAGCCCAAGCAAGCCAUUCAAACCAGUCUGGAAUAGAUUUUGAAGUAACCAUUGUAAGUUCACUAAUUGCCAUACUUCUAUUGAAGCAGAGGACAAUGAAGAAAAACAUGUGUUAUGUUUUCUACUGCUUCCCCGCAUCUUGGGCAGUUUGUGUUUGUUACUAAUCUCUUGAAAUGUAGAUUUGUUUUCGUAGGGAUGUAAUUUCUUGUGAUGCGCUAUACUGUAAUCUGGAUUUUAGAAGGGAGUUUUAGGCUCCAUAGUUCUCGGUAGAAAUUCCUAGUUAAGAGUUGUAAUGUAUUUAGCGUAAGAGUAGGAAUACCCAAUUGUAAUAGUUUAUAGGCGCUUCGCACUGAGAAUACUCUCGAUGGUUCACCCUUCCAGGCUACUUCAUCUUCUUGUGGAAUUGCUGCUAAUGGGAUACGAAGGAUCCUGCCCACAUAAACCGCAUUAAAUGUAUUGGAGAUUAGUUUGCCCCUCCAUUCUCUUUUAUUACUAUCAAUAAGCUCUGCAACAUACUCCAAA